GGCAUGAUGGCCAAGUGGGAAGGUGUUGGUCUCGUAAAUCAAAGCUUAUGGGUUCAAUCCCCGUUCAUGCCA